GACGAACGCUGGCGGCGUGCCUAAUACAUGCAAGACGAGCGCAGGAAGCUCACGGAACUCUUCGGAGGGAAGUGAAGGGAAUGAGCGGCGGACGGGUGAGUAACACGUAAGGAACCUGCCCCAAGGAUUGGGAUAACUCCGAGAAAUCGGAGCUAAUACCGAAUAGUUCUUCAGACCGCAUGGUCUGAUGAUGAAAGGCGCUCCGGCGUCACCUUGGGAUGGCCUUGCGGUGCAUUAGCUAGUUGGUGGGGUAAUGGCCCACCAAGGCGACGAUGCAUAGCCGACCUGAGAGGGUGAUCGGCCACACUGGGACUGAGACACGGCCCAGACUCCUACGGGAGGCAGCAGUAGGGAAUCUUCCACAAUGGACGAAAGUCUGAUGGAGCAACGCCGCGUGAGUGAUGAAGGUUUUCGGAUCGUAAAACUCUGUUGUAAGGGAAGAACAGGUAUGAGAGGUAAUGCUCAUGCUAUGACGGUACCUUACGAGAAAGCCACGGCUAACUACGUGCCAGCCGCCGCCGUAACAC
rnacentral:rRNA from 1 species